UUCUUGGUGGUCCAGUGGCUAAGACUCUGCACUCCCAAUGCAGGGGACACAGGUUCAAUCCCUUUUCAGGGAA
rnacentral:tRNA from 1 species